rnacentral:ncRNA from 1 species
GGGUGAGUAAGGCAUAAGAAGAACCUUCCCUUGGGAGGGGAACAAGAGCUGGAAAGGGCUGUUAAUACCUCGUACGCUAAGGAGAAAAAGGAGGACCGAGGAGGGACUCACCUUAGCUAGUUGGUGAGGCCUUACCAAGGCAAUGAUCAGUAGCUGGUCUGAGAGGCAGCCACACUGGGACUGAUACAGGGCCCAGACUGGGAGGCAG